CAGCAGCCGCGGGAAUACGUAGGUGGCAAGCGUUGUCCGGAAUUAUUGGGCGUAAAGGGCUCGCAGGCGGUUUCUUAAGUCUGAUGUGAAAGCCCCCGGCUCAACCGGGGAGGGUCAUUGGAAACUGGGAAACUUGAGUGCAGAAGAGGAGAGUGGAAUUCCACGUGUAGCGGUGAAAUGCGUAGAGAUGUGGAGGGACACCAGUGGCGAAGGCGACUCUCUGGUCUGUAACUGACGCUGAGGAGCGAAAGCGUGGGGAGCGAACAGGAUUAGAUACCCGCGUAGUCCCUGUCUCUUAUAC
rnacentral:rRNA from 1 species